rnacentral:lncRNA from 1 species
CCUAAACAUCCCAAAACAGGAGCAAAAAAUGGAGGGUUGCAGAGGUCUCUCUGUUUCAGCUCUAUGCUACAGUGCCGAAGUCUGACUUGAGGUUGUCUCACUCAGUAGUGGGAAUGCACCAGGUUUUAGUGACAUCCUUGGGUAGGUGUCCUUGCUGUGUUCCACCUCUUCAUUGUCUCCUUACUGUUCACUCCCUCCAAUGGGGUUAGACCCCUCCCCCAACCCAAGGGGUCUCUUACAGAGUGGAAGUGCAUUUCUCAAGGUCCAUUUAUUCAUUUGUUCAUUCAGCAAAAGCACGCUGGCUGCUGACCUCUUGCAAUGUUCUGUGCCAGCUAAUGGGGUUACUACAGAUGCAAAUUAGAUAUGUCCUGCCUUUAAGAUGCUUACGUUCAUGUCAAGCACUCAAAGCAAGGGUAAUCCGUGGAGGGGUAGCAAUAAGGCAGGGUGACAUUUCCCUGGCAAGAGGCAUUGCUGUCACUUGGAAGGGGCUGGGGUGGGUGUGGCAGUGCUGGGAAAAGCAGGGCAGGAGAGAAAAAUGUUGAAGCUGAGCUUUGAAGGGUUUGGCUAGGUGGGCAUGGAUGGUGCUUACCCUGACCUGAUUCUUGGUCUGAAAUCAGGCUGUCUGGGUUCAGACCCCAGCCCCAACCCAUGCUAGCAUGAGGCCUUGAGCAAAGCCCCUCCCUCACCUGGCUAAGCCCCAGUUUCCUUGUCUAUGAGAUGGGAACACACAGGCUCUGCCUGCCUGGUGAUGCUGUGGAGAUUCAGCCAUCGACAUGUGAUGCUCUGAGCACAGUGCCCAGCACAGAGUAAGCACUCAGUCAAUGCCAGCUGCUAUUGCCAUUAGCCAGUCACUGUGAGAGAAGGGUUUUUCCUCACACUGUUCCCUUUGAAAGGGCUCCUAGGACUGUAUGUUAAAGAGACUGCAAUGGAGGGCUUGGUCGACCAUUUCUCUAAGUUGUAAACUUGCCUUGUAGCAAGAAGGGGGAAAGGUGAGCCAGUCCCACAUCCAAAGCCCUGUUAAAGGUUCUUCAUUCUUUCCUGGCUCUGGGGCUGGGUUUCUACCUGUUACUAUGAAAACAUGGCCUAGAAUAUCUCUAGCCGAGUGGUCCAGAGCCCAUGGGAACUGUCAAAACUGGGAUUGGAACAUAAAUAUGAAAUGACAGGCAGCUUCAUGCGCUGUUAUUAAACUUCACAGCUAGAAUUUUUAAAAGCAAAUUAUCAUGUAAAAAUAUUCUUGUUAUGUUAAACUGGAAAUGAAAAUGACUUAUUUAUUUGCUUAGAUCAAAUUGUUGGAAGCAAAGUUAGGCUGUAUUUUUUUCCCCUGCCAAAUGCUUUGAUGUGUUCCUUUAACCAAAUGGUUACAUAUGAAUAUUAGUUAAGAUGCAUCAACCACAGCGGAGUUGUCAGCCUCCUAAGGAUUGUAUCCUUUCAAAUGGGUCAAUGAAUAGAGAUUUAAAAUAGGAGUCAGAGCCUUUAAUGUUUUUGGCAUUCAACCAAGAGAAUAAUUUGCUCAAAGAUAGUCUGGGUAAGCUAUAGUGACUGAGAAAUGGGCUUAUUUCUGGGAAUGUAGGCACCCCCUUUUUGUGCUGUAGUCUUCACAUGUGUAGGUUUUACCAGGGCCUGGGACUCACCUCGAUGGCCACCAGAUGUCACUAUUGAGUCACAGAACGACAGCCCAGGGGGCUGAGACUCCUUCCAGGGGAGGACUUUUAGGAAAACUUUACUUACCCAAACAGCUCAUUCUUUAUUUUAAAUAUCUGCCCAGCUCAGGAGCCCAAGGCAAGCUUAAGUGAAGUCAGCAGAGUAUUUUAGAGUAUGGAAGAAAAUUAGGGCAGUGGUGAAAAAAAUGCAGGAUUUGCUCUUUCUGUAUUCUGGAGAUUCUCCUUGUCUUUCAGUCACUUCUACAUGCCUAGUCUCCCCCCACUCCCAGCCCACAACUAGUAAAUGCACUGGCCUGGUUAGACUUGCAAAGUCGCAGAAUGUCAGAGCAGGAAGGGCUUAUUCUAGCGGUCUUCUAUCACGAUGCCUCGACUCAAGUGCAGGGGCCAAAAAUCUCUCCUGAGGUUAUUAAAUGAAGGUAAAGGACAGUGGUUCUCCAAGUGUGGUUCCUGAACCAGCAGUGUUACUCUCACCUGGGAACUUGUCAGAAAAGCAAAUUCUUGGGUUCUACCUCAAACCUGUUGAAUGAGAAAGGCUGGGUUGGGGCUCAGUAAAGUGUUUCUUUUAACAAGUCCUCCAGAGGAUUCUGAUUUGACUGAAGUAUAAGAUCUACUGUUAAUGGGAGUAUGAAGGUUUUAGUUCCUACAUUCUUGGGCAUCUCUCCAGGCUCUGGGCUCUGAUGAGUGCCACCAUUUCGCAGCUUUUCAUUGGAGCUUGACUUCGUCUAUACACUCCCUGGGAAGAGUGUCUCCCAAGUAGACAUGUCUAUGUUGGGUUGGGUAGAAAGACACUUGUCCUCUAUGCCACCCAUUUUUCUGGGACCCAACUUCCAGCCAUUGGGUACAGGUCACUUAGGAUGCCUCCUAAUGGCUCCAUUUUAGCUAGGGACACCUCGAGCCAUAGUUUCCCCUUUCUCCUCCUCUACUCCCUUAUCCUCGUUAAGUUUAUUUCCCUUUGUCUCUCGCUUUUCUUUCUCCAUUGCUGGAAAGAGAAAGUGUUAUUGAGCGUCUCCUAUGUGCCAGGUGCUUCCGCAUAUUCUUGGUGCUCUCAUGACAAACCCUGGAGAAGAGAGUUUGACCAUCACAACAUUUUUCAUAGGCGAGAAAUGCCCAAGGUCACACUGGUGAGGAAGUGUGUACACAGGGAUUUCAAUGGCCCAGCUUCAAGUUAAUGGAGCUCUAGUUCCCUCCCAGGCUCUCUUUGUGUUUUAAAUGGACCUUCAAGCCCCAAGAGGGAGCCAAGGAAGAAUUUCAGAUUCCCCUGCCUGGAUCUGAGGACAGAGAUUUCUAGGGGGUAGGAGACAUAAAGAAGGGACCUCCUAUGAUUCCCCACGAGGUGCCCUCCCAAAAGACAGCCUAUUUUCUGUGCUUGGAAAAUGGUUAGAUCCUGGUGGGGUCUCCCAUGGAAAGAGAUAUUCUUUAGCUUCAGCCACGACUUCAUGGUAUCACUUUCCAGAUACGUUCAUGACGACUUGCUCUUCUUUACCGUGUGUUCUUCUAGGGUUAAACUCAAGUUGGAUUAGUCAAAGCUUCCCUCUGCCAGAGGAGGUUGGACUGGCUUCUUUGCAAUUUCUAGUGUUCUCCGAUUUUCCCUGGUUUUUAUGCAGGGAAAAAAUACCUAUUUGUCUCAUUUUGCUUCUAUAGUUCUUAGGAAAAGCCUGAUCCAGACAAUGAUUUGGUGUGCACUCGGAAAACACUACUUAACCCUUUCUUGCCCUGUCAAGGUCUGCUUUUUAUUUUCUUAUGGCAAGUGAAACAGAGGGAUUGUGAUGAAGUCAUAAAGAUAAAGGAACACACACACUAAUCACUUCCAGCAUCUUCCACCAUUAGCUUUUCCUCCCUAGCAUACACGUCUUUAGAGCUUUAGAACAUUUAUGUUGUUUCAUGCUUCAUCUCAUUUUUAGGCUUUCCUCCUUUUUUCCAGGCUAUUUCUUUGUGAUAUAAGACUUAAUUCUGCUUUUUUAUUUUUGAGCAAGAAUUUUUUAAACAUAAUUCCCCUUUAUGUUUAGGCAUCCACUCGGGCUAGCAUUUCACUGUGGUUUAUUCUGCUGGGAGAACUGAGUGUUCGUGAGAACACCAUUCUCCUUCCUUUGUCUCAUUACUUAUUCUUCGAGCAUGGACUUUGGAGUCAGGCAUGGCUGGCUUCAGAUCUUCGCUUUGCUUCUUACUGAUUUGUGUCCUUGGAUGAAUAAUGUCACCUCUCUGAGUUUCACUGGAGUUGAGUCAGGCUCAGGAACACAGAUCAGACUGCUGGACCUCCAGGUCCUGGUGAUGCCUCAGAGUCACUGCUGGGCAUUUUUGUGGGUGACACAAGGAGGGUGGGCUCACAUGGCAUCUGAGGGGCUGAGGGCAGUUUCCCUGGGGUGCAUCGGAAGUGAUGGUAACCAAGUGCAGGAACGCUGCCUUCGCAGGGUGGGACUCUUCCUGGGCCCAGCUUCUUUCUUUCUCUCCAGUUCUCCAGCAUGGGUCCCUUUAAGGCCACAUCCUUCUCCCCAGCCGUCUCCAUCCAUCUCUCUCCACAGCAGUUACUUGGACUUGGGACCCUAAUGAGCAGGGAAAGCAACUGGUUAGAUUUGAGACACCCAGUGUGUUGUGUUGUGCUCAGUAAAAGCGCUUGCUCUUUUUGAUUGCCUCCAAGUGGAGUCAUGACAAAAUCAACCUAAAAACAUGUCAAGAAUACCCAUUUAUUCCCAGAUCCCUUCAGUUGGAAAGUACUGCCAGCUGAAAACACCAUGUGCGGUCUUGCUGUUCUUCUCAUUGGCCUGUGCAUUUGAGUGGAGGUAGGCACCUGAGUGUAUUUGUGUCACUGUUCUCCAUUUAUUAAGCAUAGUGGUAGUGCUUGAUAAAUAUUGGUUGAAUGGCUGAUUAAUGAAAAGACCUGAAUUCUGGGCUUGGCUAAUGUGAUCUUCGGCAAGUCACUCAAUUCUCUGAGUCCAUUUUGUAGAAGAUUGAUAAUUAUUCCUGAGUUUUAGGUCAGACUCUCCAGGAAAAGAUUCAGAUUCUAGUAAGUUAUUAAGGAAGGGCUCCCCCUGGGAGGGAAUGGGGGAGCAGUGGGGUAAGGGGAGGAAGCAGAGCAAGGCUGUGAUCACAGGUAGAGGCCUGCAGAGGGAAGCCCCAGCCUGGUCCUGCAGGGGAACUCUGGCGCUUCAGAGAAGCCUCCUAGUGGUCUCCAUCUCAGGCAAGGGGGCUGGGCCUUUUGUACCCCAUCCCUUAGUCACUGCCUAAGGACUGGGGAGGGAAGGGACUUUCCACCCCUUUAGGCAAAGUGGCCACUGGUGGUCUCCAGCUCUCCACGCAACUGGGCAAAGUGGUCACCAAUGGUCUGAGGGAAGUCCUCCAAAACAGACCCGCAAAGUCUGUGUGUAAGAGUAGAAGGAUGGGUCGCAGACAUUAUGGCCACAUCCCUCCUCAUCUACAUUUCUGAUAUGUUGGUAUCAGAUGAGACACUAUGUGGAAAUGCAAGAAAACUGGAAUAUUCCAUUUCAAAGUAAAUGGUGGUUUUUAUAUUCAAUAAAUUAUUUAAAAAAAAAGAGUCUUGUGCAUCUAGAAAGACCUAGAAAAAGAAUGUUCGCAUUAAUCGCACGUUCUGGUUCAUAAAGAGCAGCCCUUAGAUAAAAUUUCAUGUCCUUUGAGAACUGGUAAUCCAAUACCAGUUUUCAAAGAAUUGUAAUUUAAAUUAACGCUACAACUACAAGCAAGACAAUUUAAUCUCUGUUUGAUGCUUCAGAAGGCAUUUCCCAAUCUUGUAAGGCCUCAGGGUCGUGAUUAUCGUUGCAUAGAAGACAUGCACGGCUGCAGUUAGCAGACUGGGUUAGGAGAGUGGGGAAAAUGGAAUCGCCUCUGUUUUUCGUUGCUGGAGAGGUGUUGGCUGUUGCUGUAUUUACGAAUGGUUAAACAUUGGAGCACUGACAAUUUUGGGGGCCCAAAGCUUUGACUUUCCUUUAAAAUUUGGCUGAAAUGGGCCAAGACGGGGACACUUAUCUGAUUUAAUAAAGCAAUCUCAACUAUAAAGAUGCAGACUCUGUGACAUGGGUAAACAGAAUUUUGCUUAGCAGUUUCUCACUGUGUCCCAAACAGAAGGCUGGGGGUAACCAGGCGCUAACACAUACAUUGCCUCCCAUAUUGCACGAUGGUUAUGUUUGAAUUGUCAUUUUUGUUGUUUUAUGUAGUGUAGGGAACAAUACAUUUUCCCCCAGACUAGGGUGGCCAAGGUGGAGUUGUCCUUAACGCACUUUUCUAUGAUCUUAUCCAUUGCCAACUUUGGCCACGUUGUUCAAAAUACCCACCCCUCCCACUACCACCCAUUUUGAAAUCACAUUAUUGAAGCAACUUUGAGAUCCUGGCACAUCUCCUGUAUUGUGAUAGGCAUACAUGGGGAUGAAAGAAAAACGUAAGAGCCCCAAACUGGGGUAAAUAUGAAGAGGAAAGAAAAGAAAUCUUAUCUAGAACCAUUUAGAAAUGUGAGGCAGAUAAGGGACAAGAAGAGGGAAGACACAGCUUUGGGCCCAUUUACGUUUCAGGAAGACACUCCUGUGGAAUCUUCUAAGAUUUCUUGAGCUUUUGCAAUUGCCCCAUGUUUAUUGUUUUCAUCAUUUUCUUUCCCUCUCCUUUCUUGUCAUGAGUGGUUGGAAGUAAAACCAAUGCAUUCAUUGAAUUAUUCACGAGACAUUUGUCAUAUACUUUCUGUGGGUCAGGUACUGUGCUGGGCUCUGAAGCUGUGACAAUAACUCAGACCUGGCCCUUUAGUCAAGGUCCUGAAGGAGUCCUAGUUGAGAGGGGGGAUGGAUCCGCCUAAGGACAUUAAGCCUUGCCCAUAAGUGGGAAAAGCCGAGGACCAUGAAAGCACAGAGAAGGAGGCAGAAUGGAAGAGAGUGAGAGAUGAUUCUCUUGUACAGCAACCCUGGUGAGCACAGGCCCCCAAGCCCAGGUAAGCAGGGAACAACCAAAAGGAAGAACAGAGCCAGCUCACUCCUAAAGGCACCUGGAAAUGUUCGAGGGACAGGAACACAAGUCUGGCUGUUGCCUGGGAGAGAACCAAUGCAUUUCCCUGUAGAAAGCUCUACUGGGAUCUUGUGACUUAAAGAGGCAAUGCCGUUCUAGUGAGAGACUGAAUAUACAAAUGGACAAUGAUAUGGCCGGACCGCACAUACAAACAGAACCCUACCUACAGCCUCUGCGGCAGCUGGCCUCGAACAGCCAGGACUUGAUCAAUGACUGCCAGCUUCCCUAAUUUUGCCCCUGUUUCCAACUUAUCACCAAACAGAGAAGGUCACAUCUGCUCCCUUAACCAACUGCACAGGAUGUCCUGUUUCAUUAGCCCAAAGCUUCCCCAGGCCAACAGCCUAAUCAGGGCACACCUGAAGCAUGUCCUUUUUUCCACUACAAAGCUUUCCUAUUUUCCUGCCUGCCUUUCAAGUUUCUGCCAAACGCAAAUGAUGGUGGCUGACUUCCCCUGUAGCAAACCCUGCUUGGUCCUCAUGCGAGUGGUCUUCAUUUAUUUCCACAGUUUUUGAUGAAGAGUAUAUCGAAGCAUGAACACAAGUGCUGACACCCACUCACCACUCAAUAAACGUUCUUUCCUGAUGGAGCACCCCGUACAUCACCAGCAACACUCCUGGAGAACACCCUCUUCUCAUCCAAGUUGCCAACCACUCUGGCUGAAGGUGGAAUGGCCCUUUAUAAAAUCCCUUACGCUCACGAGAGGGAGGGACAUCUGCAGCCCUGAGGGGCCUGGAGAGUCUGACGGGAUAGCAGGGGAGUUGCCGUGGCAGAGGCAGGACCACGUUCUAGUCGCAAGCAAGAGAGCUCAAAGAUACCUUGAAAGCUGUGCAGAGGAGACCAAGGAGGGGAAACGGAUGCCCUUCAAAGGCGGAAAUCUGGUUCCAAGUGAACAGUGUGCCCACCUCCUGCAAGCACGCUUCCUGAUAAUAACGUUUCUGAGAGGCUGUGUACAAAUCACCUUCCGUAGAUGGGGUCUUACACCCCGCCGUGAUUUACACUUUCAUUUAGGUGCUGAUUUAUCAUCAUUUCUUCCCCUGGCAACCAUCCUUACAACUUGCCUCUUAGUUCUAGCCUCCCUGGCAGAUAAUUAAUGAGCUCUUAAUACGGCUUAUGGGCAACGGAGGGAACGCACUAUUUAAAGAUGCCUUUCAGGGGAUUUUUUUUUUUUUUUUUUUUUUGGUAAAGUGAAGAAUCCCUUUGUCAGGCAAAAAAAUCAUAUGCAUUUGGCAAAUGUUGCCCUUUUGAACUUGUGGACUGUUCAAAGGCAGACCAAGAAGUUUGUGUGAAUCAGGACACAUCAGUCUAGAAGUUUAGCUACCCAGCGGUCCCUGAAACUAUUAGAAAAGAGGGUCUUACUAAAACUUUUUAUUAAUUAAUUAUAUUCUUUCAUUUGCUUACUGGUUCAACAAAUACUUGUUGAACACUUGUUAUGUGCUAGGCCCCAUGCUGGGCACUGGGGAUGUAACGGUGAGCAAGGCACACACGGCCGUUGUGUUUGUGGUGCUCACAGCCCGCUGGGGAGACAGAUAAUGAGCACACAGUUAUGCAGGUAAUUAGUUCACUACACUUUUGAUAAAUGCUACCAAGGGACCAAGGAGGGAGGCGAAAGAGGCCGAGCUAGUUUGAGGGAGGGAGAGUGGCCAGGGAAUUGAAAGUUAAGCUGAGCUCCAAGGAUGAGUUAGAAUUAACCAGGGAAAGGGUACUCCAGGCCAGAAAAGAAUGUGCAGAGGCCCUGAGGAGAGAAAGAACACAGCUCUUUUGAGGGACUUGGAGAAGGACUCUGGCUGGAGCAGAGUGAUGAAGGCAGAGAGUGGGAGAAGAUAAGCUUCUGAGAUGAAUGUGGGAAGAACGGGGUCCACCCGGUGGUGUAGUGGUUAAGUCUACACGCUCUGCUUCAGCAGCCCAGGGUUCACAGGUUUGGAUCCUGGGCACAGACCUACGCACUGCUCAUCAAGCCAUGCUGAGGUAGCAUCCCAUAUACAAAAAAUGGAGGAAGAUUGGCACAGAUGUUAGCUCAGGGCCAAUCUUCCUCACCAAAAAAAAAAAAAAAGAAAAGAAAAUUUAAAAAACGUGGGCACUAUGGUGACAGUUUUUACAGACUGACUGUUUUGAAUAGUGUCCUUAGAGUGAUGAAUAAAUUAUUGGCAGUUCCAGGCAGGGAAGUGACAUGCUCAGAUGUACCUUUCAGAGAGAGAAUUUUGUCUGCAAUGUCGGGAAUGGGUUGAAAGAGGUAAGGAAGGGAUCAGGGGGACCCAUUAGGAGCCCGUAGCCUCUGUCCACGGUAAAAGAGGUGGUGUUCACUGGUGGUUUCCACCAAGCCACCAUUCAGGUAGUGAGUGUCAGGAUUCAAUUCAGUCCAUUUCACAGAAGAAAAAAGAGAGCUCCAGUAGUCCAGGAACAGUUAGACAACUGGCUCCUCCCAGGAACAAGGGCCCACUUCUGAGUGCCGCAUCUUCAUUCUAGUCCUGGCUUCUCAAAGCAGACACAGAUGCAGGCACCGCCCAGCACAGUGCUCUGAGAUUCCCCCAGCAGGCCUCAGAGACAGGGCUCUCCUCAAGAGCUCUGACUUGGAAUUGGGAUCAGGAAUGAUAGUCUCUGUAAGUGGGCUUGAUAAGGAGAAUCUUCUGGAUGCAAUCCUCAAGUCUUCAGGGGAGUGUCUAACCAUCUAGGGCCCCCAAAGCUGGUCUCCAUGGCCCCUCCAUCAGACAUCAGCCAGGAGAUCUCAAAUGUCAUUGGGCAAAGGUGUCCUUGGGGGAGAAUCUUCCUCAAAAGGCAGAUUCUUGGGCCCUAUUUCCAGGGAUUCUGUUUUGGUCUUUCUGGUUUGUGGCCUGGGAGUAUGCAUUUCAUAACAAGGCUAUACACAUCCACUCCCCUUGUUUCUAAUGCGGAUGAUCUUUAAAUCACUUAAAACUCUGGGAACUGUUGUCCUAGUACCUUAGGCCUUCAGGACGAUAGAUUGUCUGAGCUCAGCAAGGCAUGAUCUCAUUCCAGGCAGUCACUAACAUUUAGGAAGUUCAAGAGAUGGGGUGGGACUCUUGAAUUGGGGGAUGGCUUGGGAGCCAAGAAGAAACCUUCCUGCUCUCCUAAAUUGCCUGAUUCUUAGCAUCAUCCAGAGGGUUUAUAAACAUGCCCAUUAUUUUCUAAAGAUUCUGAUUCAGUGUGGCCUGAGCACCAGGGAGCUUGUGGCCUUAGCAGAUGCCUCCCGUGAUCCUCAUGUUCAGGCAGGUUGGGGACCUUUGUCCAGGAGGCUUCAUGGGCAGGUCUGGCCCUCAGGGCCCUCAGGGAACCCUGGGUGUUCUUGGGGUGAUUCAGGGAGCCUCAGGUAUUCUCCGGGGGCCUCAGAGAGCCCCGGCUGUCCUCAGGGUCUUUGGUUCUGAGAAUUCUGCUGGACCCUGGCUGGGGUCUGAUGUGUCUGCCUGGUUUUGCAGCAAAGUCAGGGGAAGAACCUGUGAAGGCAGCCCUCUCAGGCUCAGGACAUCCAGCUGACAUGCAUCACCUGCUGCUGAGGCCAGGCCAACACUAGCUCCAGCAAACCUGCAAACAUGCCAUCUGUUUCCUGCCAUGAUCCUGACUGGUACAGCCACCCAACACCUCCUGCUCCCAUGACAGGCAAGAAGAUAAACAUCUUCUGAGCCGAUGCAUCACAUCAGGGAGCUAAGAGCCCUCACCGAGAGCCUGGAGUGGAGCUGAGUAAUGCCUCCAUUUUCACUUGCAAAGUACACAGCAAUGGCCGCGGAGAAAGCUGGAAGAUGGAAGACACACAGAAAGGAUGUGUGUUGGUAAAUUCUUCUACUUUAGAAAUAUGAAGAUGACCUUAAUAUUCCUGGAUUCCCCAUGAUAAUGUUCAGGAGAAGAAUGGCCAAAUUUUACAUUAUUUCCUAGGUGGGCACAUGAGGCAAUCCGAGUCUUGAGUAAGAUUCCACUGGACGUAGAGGCCGGAAAAGAAAGUAGCUGAGUUGCACAGGAGCUCAGUGGCAGCACGGGAGGAGAUGGUCCAUGCUAAAGCUGUCUGCAAGAGAGAUUCAUGGAGGGAUGAAGAGAUGCUUUCCCAUCUUCUUUGAGGGCCAUGGGAAGGGCUAUUUUAAAUGAUUUUGUUCUGCUUUUCCACAGAUGCUUAAGAGAAUAUGGGCUCAACUUCUAGCAGCAGUGCUGGGUGGACAGAAUCAUGUCCUAGUUAAGCAUAAGGCCCUGAAGCCAGGCACUGAGCUUCUACCCUGGCUUUGCCAUGACUAGCAAGGUGAUCCUGGGCAAGUCACUUAACCUCUCUGUGCUUAUUUGUAAAAUUGGGAUAAUCGUGGCACCUACUUCAUUAUUUGCGAAAAUUAAAUGAACUAGCACAUGUAACACACUUGGGAAAGUGUCUGGUACAUGGCUACCAUUUAUUAAAUACUCACUGUUAUUAACAUUAUUAUUGUUGUUAUUUUAAUAACUUUUCCACUGUUAGCAUGAUUAAAGGGUACAAUAAGGAAAUGGGGGGGAUUCCAGUCUUUGUCUGCAGACUUUUAGAAUUAGGCCAGCAUUUAUCUUGGUUGAUUAUGUUAUUCAUCUUCCUUAGAUGGAAGGUCUUAGUCUAAUUGAACUUUUUUCCCCCAUCAAUCACUUGAAAAAAACCCCAAAAAACAUCGAAACCACAAGGCAGCAAGGAAACUGCCUGAUGGUUAGGAAAAAGUCUCUGACAAACUUUUCUGGAAUUCAGCUCAACCCCAGGUGACUUCCCUGAUGGAUGCAUUAAUGAUAGUGGUACAGAGGUUAAGCCAAAUAGACUUGAGAUCUGAAAUUGGAUCCUUGGAACAAGCUCUCUGUACAUCUGCAUCUCUGACAGCCCCCAGGGUAGUUGGGUGUCCAGGAAGCGGCAGCUGAUGCACUCUGUGUUUGUGCUUAGAGUCUAGACAGUGCUAGACAGUGUUUGUAAAUAGAAGAGGAAGCGCCAGGGCUACAUCAUGGAGGAGAUGUGUGUGGUCAGGCGGGUAGCCUGAAGAGGUGGCUGUCCUUUCUCAGAGCUACUGCAUUCAGUUCACUGAUACGUUUGUAACAGUGCUCCCUCCCAGAGUGUGCAGCUCACCCAUGUGCUAAGGGGUCCCCGCCUUAGUGUGGAUCUGAGCUGAUAGUGGAGAGGUGAUGUAUUUUGGCUCAGAUAGCAGAGAAACCUCAAAAUAAGGGAAUUAUCUCAUGAAGAAGCAAAUCCAUUCUAAUAAUUGAACAGGACUCCAAGAGAGAAUCUUCACAGUCCUACUAGGGGAACUUUUACAAGGAGCAAGUUGAAGGUUGCCAAUGGAGAAUGCCAAUUUGUGGAGACAUCCGGCCCCCAACUAGGCCUGUCCAUCACUAUUGGUGCUGAUUAGGGCUGUGCGGAAAAGUGAGGUGAGCAGGUACAGAUCACGUAGAGUCCAAGGCCUGUAACUUAGGAACAAUGAGCAUCAUAAUUGCACACAAUUUCCAAGGACUUGCUCCCUAUCAGGCAUAUAUUUUACAUAUAUUAAAUCAUUUGAUGCUUGUCUUAGGUAGAUACUGUUAAUGUCCACAUUUUCCAGACAAGACAAUGAGGCACAGAAAGGCUAGGCCACUUGCCCAUGUUCUUACGACCAGAAAGUGGCAGAGGAUGCACUUAGGAAGUCUGACCUGAACACAUAGACUGUUCGCCACUACACGGGUAUGUGACAAUGACCAACCUGGACAGAUGCUGAAACCAGUAACGAGUGGCACAUGGGCAAGUGCAGUCAAGGCCUUGGUUUUGAGGAGCAGAAACCCUAACUAGGCAAAGGAAGGGAGAUAGAUCAUAAGGAUAGACGGGAAUCUCAUGCAGAUCUAAGGCAGGGAGUGCAGCUAAACUGCCGAUCCUAGAUCGGAGCUCAUGGAGCUGACUUCUGCUUCCCUGCCUGUACCUGCUGGGUUCUCUCUGCAGGCCAGCUCUCUCAGCUUCUCCACAUCUGUCUGUGACUUGCAGUGGAACCCACCACAGCCCUGAUUCUAUAGACCUCUUAGCCCCAGAGUCUUCCCCCACUGACAGUUGACUGUCUCCCUUUUGUUUCACUGAGGAAGAUUAGCCUUGAGCUGACAUCUGUACCAAUCUUCCUCUACUUUAUAUGUGGGUUGCUGCCACACCAAGAAUAUGAACCUUCAAACCACUGCCACCAAAGUGGAGCAUGCCAAACUUCACCACUAUGCCAUGGGGCCGGCCCCUGACUGUUUCUUAAUUAAGAAGAAGAACUUCAUUAGCUCAACCCAGCCAAUCAAUUGGCUUCCCUUGAGUCAGGUGAUCAUCAUCGUCCAACUUCUGUAACUAUCCAGGAGUUGGAGGUGGUGAGUGGGAGAUCUGAGAACAGAAGUUCCUACACCUUUUUUUUUUCCCUAGUGAGGAAGCUUGGCUCUGAGCUAACAUCUGUUGCCAAUCUUCCUCUUUUUUGCUUGAGGAAGAUUGUCCCUGAGCUAACAUCUGUUCCAAUCUUCUCCUAUUUUCUAUGUGGGAUGCCACCAAAGCAUGGCUUGAUGAAGAGUGUGUAGGAAUGUGCCCAGGAUCUGGACCCACAAACCCUGGGCCACCAAAGCAGAAUGUGUGAAUUUAACGACUACACCACUGGGCCAGCCCCAAACUUUUUUUUUAAUGCAAGGAACCCUUUUAGCAGUCUGGUGAAGGCUCUGGAUCUCUUCUCAGAAUAAUGUUUUUAAAUGAAUAAAAAUAUAUGUUGGAUUAGAAAGGCAACUUUAUUAAAUUACAAUUACCAGAAUACUAAAUAAAACAAAAUUUGUGAAAAUUUGUGAUGUGCUUUUUAAAAAACACAUUGAUGAGAUGUAGCAGCAACUCUCAUAACAACUAUAAUUUUGAAGAACUGGUUAAUGUAAAAGAUAUUUUGAGAUACCUGCAAAACUUGUGUGAUAUAAAAAUAUCUGUGACUUGUGUUGGUGACAAAGUCACAGGCACUGUUAACACAACUAUGGUCUGCUGCCCAUAUUUGUUAUUGGAGGAAAUGCUAAAUUUCAGUUAGAAGAUACUGAAAGUGUGGACAUAAAGCUUUUUUCCUACCCAAGUUCAUAGACCCCUGAUUUCUGCCCACAGACUCCCUGACUUAUGCUGUUGCCAUAUUUCUCAAAGCAAUGGGCAAACUGCACCAGAAUAAAUGGGAGGUGACAAGUGGGGAGGGGGAGCAUCCAUGAAGGUUCUCUUUUGAAAAAUUCAGAUUUUCAAAAACUAAAACAACAAACACAUUUUUGUUGCUCUCCUGAUAUGUGUCUUACAUAUAUUAUAUUUUGAGAGCCACUGAUGUAAAGUAAAUAAUUUAAAAACUCUCAGCAUCAUUCUCUUUAACCAUAAAACGGGGUUGGGGCAUGAGCCAACUCAGUCAUAUAAAAGUAAAAUACAUUUCAAAUGCAAACAGCUUUUGAAAUGUUUAGAAAUAAGCUAGUGACGCUGAAUGCAGGCAAUUUCAAAUGCUUUCCUCAAAGACGCCAUUUGGUUUAAGAGGAGAGCUUCAGCGUGCCUCUGCAAGGGUGGAGACUAAUUGAAUUAUGUCACGCUGAAGAGCAAAUGCGUGUCUGAGGGAAUCCCCAAGCCUGUUGCCCACUGGCCCGAGGACCUGCCUCAUUUGCAUGUCUGACUAGAGGCCAAAGCAAAGAUGAUGUGUCAUACAGUGUGAAAGGGGCACAGGAGGAUGCAGUUCUAGCCCCAGCGCAUCAGGAAAGAAGAGGCUGAGCAUUAUUACUAACUGUGGGAUGCUGGGCCUUGCAGCCUGUGGCUGGAGGCAGAGCAUAGGUCAAGAGCAAACAGCCUCUUGGUAGAAUGAGCUCAGACUGAUUGAACACACUGGAAGUCUGCCCAGGUGAACUAACCGCAAGAAGAGGAGAGAGGAGGAGCAGGGUAAAAGCGAGAGACUUGGCCAAGGACAGAGACAGCUGACGCACUCAGGGCAGGGAGAGCACCCUGGGCAUCUUGCAAAAAGAGAACAAUUUCCUUACUCCUGUGGCUUUGUGUCUAGAAAUACUGUGGAACUUCCUGCUUGGGACUCAGGCUGCUUCAGUGAUAUCUAGGAUAUAGGACCUCUCUUCUGGCCACAGGAGAUCUCACACCUGACGAGGAAGGGGGCAUCCUGAGAGAACUAGAGGUUUACUACUAGAGGUAGGCACGUUACCCCUCUGUCAGUUUUUCUCUCUUUAUGCUAAUAGCAGUAUAGCACGGUGGGUGACAGAGUGGGCUGCAGGGCCAGCAUUGGAAAUCCAGCUUUGCUACUUCUCAGCUGGGUCAUCUUGGACAGGGACUAAUCUUUCUGUCUCCCUUUGUCCAUUUGUAGAAUGGACAUAAUAAUAAUAAUAGCACCUCCUCAUGGGACUUUUAUGAAGUUUGAGCCUAUAAAUAUAUGUAAAUUGCUCAGGAUUGGUG